rnacentral:rRNA from 1 species
GAUGAACGCUAGCGGCAGGCUCAAUACAUGCACGUCGAGGGGCAGCAUGAUUGUAGCAAUACAAUUGAUGGCGACCGGCAAACGGGUGCGGAACACGUACACAACCUCCCAAUAAGUGGGGAAUAGCCCAGAGAAAUUUGGAUUAAUACCCCGUAACAUAACGAUGUGGCAUCACAUUGUUAUUAUAGAUUUUUCGCUUAUUGAUGGGCGUGCGGCUGAUUAGAUAGUUGGCGGGGUAACGGCCCACCAAGUCUACGAUCAGUAGCUGAUGUGAGAGCAUGAUCAGCCACACGGGCACUGAGACACGGGCCCGACUCCUACGGGAGGCAGCAGUAAGGAAUAUUGGACAAUGGACGCAAGUCUGAUCCAGCCAUGCCGCGUGAAGGAUUAAGGUCCUCUGGAUUGUAAACUUCUUUUAUAAGGGACGAAAAAAGGCUUUUCUAAGUCGUCUGACGGUACCUUAUGAAUAAGCACCGGCUAACUCCGUGCCAGCCGCCGCGGUAAUAC